UGUAUGUAUGUAUGUAUGUAUGUAUAUGUAUGUAUGUAUGUAUAUAUCUGUAUGUAUGUAUGUAUGUAUGUAUCUAUAUACAUGUAUGCAUGUAUGUAUGUAUGUAUAUGUAUGUAUGUAUGUAUAUAUCUGUAUGUAUGUAUGUAUGUAUGUAUGUAUAUAUAUGUAUGUAUAUAUAGAGUCCGGCUACUAUAUUCUUAUGAGUACGAUCGUUCUCGUACUCAUAAGUUGUUUUCGAUGAUAGAACUUGCGAAUCGACGAUCCACACUGGUAAACGUUAUCUAGAGCAUUUAAAACGUCUAGAAAUCAAAAUUUAUAAUUUUUCGACAUCAUUUACCUUACGAUCAAAAGGUCACAAAUUUAAUAAUUUUUAACGGCCGGUAUGGGAUAUUUGUUAGUUUAACGGUGUAAAAGAAUCGAAAUCAGUUGAAUUUUUAAUAGAAAAUUCUAUUCACUAUAUA
rnacentral:lncRNA from 1 species